GAUGAACGCUGGCGGCGUGCUUAACACAUGCAAGUCGAACGUGAGGAAAUAGCAAUAUUUCUGAAAGUGGCGCACGGGUGAGUAAUACGUAGGUGACCUGCCUUGAAGUGGGGGAUAACAGUUGGAAACGACUGCUAAUACCGCAUAUUGCCGGGAUGUCGGGAGACGACCUGGUGAAAACUCUGGUGCUUCAAGAGGGGCCUACGGCCGAUUAGCUAGUUGGCGGGGUAAGAGCCCACCAAGGCGACGAUCGGUAGCUGGUCUGAGAGGACGAUCAGCCACACGGGAACUGAGACACGGUCCCGACUCCUACGGGAGGCUG
rnacentral:rRNA from 1 species